GAAGCAGUGUACAGGAGUGCCUCUCGUGUGACCCAGGGUUCUACUGUGCCACACCUGGGUCAUCAGAGGCCACUGGCUACUGCACCGCUGGAUACUACUGUCUGGGCGGAGCUGUGACACCCUUUCCUGCUGAUGGCGUUACUGGAAAUGAGUGUCCCCUAGGUCAUUAUUGUCCAGAGGGCUCCAGCACUCCACGGCCCUGUCACCCUGGCCACUAUAGCAACAAAACCAAAAACACAGCUCAGUCUGACUGUCUCCCAUGUCCCUCAGGCUUUGCUUGUGCUGCUCCUGGUCUAACUAGCCCUUCUCACACUUGUGAAGCUGGUUUCUUUUGCCCACUUGGCCAGGAGUCUAGCAGGCCAGAUGUGUUCCUG